UACGUAGGGUGCAAGCGUUGUCCGGAAUUAUUGGGCGUAAAGAGCUCGUAGGCGGUCUGUUGCGUCGGCUGUGAAAACCCGGGGCUCAACUCCGGGCCUGCAGCCGAUACGGGCAUCACUGGAGUUCGGCAGGGGAGACUGGAAUUCCUGGUGUAGCGGUGAAAUGCGCAGAUAUCAGGAGGAACACCGGUGGCGAAGGCGGAUCUCUGGGCCUUACCUGACGCUCAGGCGCGAAAGCUAGGGGAGCGAACUGG
rnacentral:rRNA from 1 species